rnacentral:rRNA from 1 species
ACUCCUACGGGAGGCAGCAGUAGGGAAUCUUCCACAAUGGGCGCAAGCCUGAUGGAGCAACACCGCGUGAGUGAAGAAGGGUUUCGGCUCGUAAAGCUCUGUUGUUAAAGAAGAACACGUAUGAGAGUAACUGUUCAUACGUUGACGGUAUUUAACCAGAAAGUCACGGCUAACUACGUGCCAGCAGCCGCGGUAAUACGUAGGUGGCAAGCGUUAUCCGGAUUUAUUGGGCGUAAAGAGAGUGCAGGCGGUUUUCUAAGUCUGAUGUGAAAGCCUUCGGCUUAACCGGAGAAGUGCAUCGGAAACUGGAUAACUUGAGUGCGGGAGAGGGUAGUGGAACUCCAUGUGUAGCGGUGGAAUGCGUAGAUAUAUGGAAGAACACCAGUGGCGAAGGCGGCUACCUGGUCUGCAACUGACGCUGAGACUCGAAAGCAUGGGUAGCGAACAGGAUUAGAUACCCUGGUAGGAUAGCG